rnacentral:rRNA from 1 species
UACGGAGGGUGCAAGCGUUGCUCGGAAUUAUUGGGCGUAAAGGGCAGGUAGGUGGUCUCAUUUGUCUGGGGUGAAAGCCUUGAGCUUAACUCAAGAAGUGCCUCAGAAACGGUGGGACUAGAGUACUGGAGAGGGUCGUGGAAUUCCCGGUGUAGCGGUGAAAUGCGUAGAGAUCGGGAGGAACACCAGUGGCGAAGGCGGCGACCUGGACAGUGACUGACACUCAACUGCGAAAGCGUGGGGAGCAAACAGG